rnacentral:rRNA from 1 species
UACGUAGGUGGCAAGCGUUGUCCGGAUUUAUUGGGUUUAAAGGGUGCGUAGGCGGCUUAUUAAGUCAGUGGUGAAAUACUCUAGCUCAACUAGAGGGGUGCCAUUGAUACUGAUGAGCUUGAGUACAGAUGAGGUAGGCGGAAUUGACGGUGUAGCGGUGAAAUGCGCAGAUAUCAGGAAGAACACCAAUGGCGAAGGCAGCUCUCUGGGACGGUACUGACGCUGAAGACGCGAAAAGCGUGGGGGAGC